rnacentral:rRNA from 1 species
CCUACGGUAGGCAGCAGUCGAGAAUCAUUCACAAUGGGGGAAACCCUGAUGGUGCGACGCCGCGUGGGGGAAUGAAGGUCUUCGGAUUGUAAACCCCUGUCAUGUGGGAGCAAAUUAAAAAGAUAGUACCACAAGAGGAAGAGACGGCUAACUCUGUGCCAGCAGCCGCGGUAAUACAGAGGUCUCAAGCGUUGUUCGGAAUCACUGGGCGUAAAGCGUGCGUAGGCUGUUUCGUAAGUCGUGUGUGAAAGGCGCGGGCUCAACCCGCGGAAGGAACAUGAUACUGCGAGACUAGAGUAAUGGAGGGGGAACCGGAAUUCUCGGUGUAGCAGUGAAAUGCGUAGAUAUCGAGAGGAACACUCGUGGCGAAGGCGGGUUCCUGGACAUUAACUGACGCUGAGGCACGAAGGCCAGGGGAGCGAAAGGGAUUAGAUACCCGAGUAGUC